rnacentral:rRNA from 1 species
CAGUAGCCGCGGGAAUACAGAGGAUGCAAGCGUUAUCCGGAAUGAUUGGGCGUAAAGCGUCUGUAGGUGGCUUUUCAAGUCCGCCGUCAAAUCCCAGGGCUCAACCCUGGACAGGCGGUGGAAACUACCAAGCUGGAGUACGGUAGGGGCAAAGGGAAUUUCCGGUGGAGCGGUGACAUGCGUUGAGAUCGGAAAGAACACCAAUGGCGAAAGCACUCUGCUAGGCCGACACUGACACUAAGAGACGAAAGCUAGGGGAGCAAAUGGGAUUAGAUACCCCGGUAGUCCCUGUCUCUUAUAC